UUUCAGCACUCAUCUUCCUCAUUUGAGAACCCUAGCCUCCUUCAUCCUCUUGUGAGCUCAGUGCCGUCAGUCAUUGCCCGCCGUGCUCCUCCACCGUCCUCCACCGUGUUCUGCUACUACGCAUCCACUGCUUGCGUCCGUCAUCUUCCUCAACUCAUUCCCGGGCUUCGAACGCCCUCAACAUCUUUGGCCUUCGAGAAAUCUCCACCUGCACCAUUCACCAUGAUCACCGGUCUCCUCCACUGCUUAAGUCGUCGUCCUCCAGAGAUCACAUAAACCCGAGCCUCCUUUUAUCUUCAUCCACCAGUGUUCUCAUUGAGUUUUUGACCGGUUCGUCUUAGUGUCCAACGCUGUUGACGACCCCUGUGUUCAUCGUCGAAACCAGAGCUCCAAGCUGUGUGUCCCUUCCAUUCAUUUUCAUCAUCACCGUCGACCCAUGGUCCCUCUUCACAAUUCAUUUUGCUGCAUUUUCUUUCAUCCAUUUUUGUUCUCACCGUAGACUACCAUAGCUCACGCCAUUUCUGAGCGUCCUCACUAUCGAUUCAUCUCUGUUCUUCCCCUGAUCUUCUUCACCUCACUUCCGUCCAGUUCAUCUCUGUUCUUGGCGGCCAUCACCACCACCUAGUUUCGUCACUCCCAGCCAUUCUCGUUCUCUUUAAUCUAUGUCGCUCCGUCCAUCCACACAAUUUUGGUUUUGCCAUUUCAAGUUGUUUGGGGUUUCGGUCAGCUCUUCAAGUUAUUAUUAUUAUUAUUUUUUCUUUUCUCUCUAUUUGUGCUGCUUUUUUCGUUUUGGUUUAUUCUUGUUUGAGUUCUUGGGGGUUUUCUUUUUCAUUUAUUAAUUAUCCUUCUUCUUGCGGAGUAAGCUCUGUUCCAUUGCUCUACAGGUACUAUAUGGCACCUUCCAACAAGCAAAAGACCACCAAAUACAAAGCUUCAUUAAAGGCAACUUUAUUCCAAACCAAGCAAUCUGUUAAGUCACUUGCUUCUGCUCCUGAUCAUGAAGACUCCCCACCUUUGGUUGAAGAUCAAGUUGUGCCAUGGCCCAUCGACACCUUUUGUGCACUAGCGGCUGAGCUUAGAUAUACACAAAGUUUCUCUAACAAUCGCCUCAUCCAAGAACGUACAUUCCCUUAUGAUAACCCACACCCAGCUUUUGAGAUUAUUCAAAAUAAUCAGUGGAAGUUGCUUUCUUCCCUCCAAGAAUUGGUUAUCUAUCUUUGGUGCAUGAGUUCUUCACUAAUGCUUUGUUCUGUCCAGAGAAAAAUCUUAAGUGCGAGGAAAAUUUGUUUAGUUCACUGCGGAUUCCAUAAGAACUUUUUAUGAUCUUCUAAUAAUUGAUUCUUGUCGCUACCAAGAAUUGAAGAACAAGUCAACUUGCCCUUAUGAGUUAUUACCAAGUGUUUGACUUCACGGAAUGUUAAAUGGAGUUAGGGACUUCGCCAUUCAGACCUAUGUGAGGUUGCUAAGUUUUGGCAUUAUUUUGUCAUUCAUAAUGUAUUGCCUAUCUCCCAUGUUCAUAAAAUCUCGAAGGCAAGAGCUGCGCUAAUUUUUCAUAUCAUGACAAAACGAUUGAUAGACUUAGCAACCAUUAUCUACAAUUUGGUUUCGGCAAUACAAGCUAUGAUUCAGGACAUCAAGGCUACAAAAUUUACAAUGAUCUAUCCUCACCUCAUUCUGCCUUAUGUGUGCAAUGAGGGGUUCUAUCACUCCCUACUAACUUAUUAGAGGUGCCACAACCUUUUAAGCCGAAGUCCCUGGGAAUGCAAUCAUUGAAGAUUGAAAUUUAAAUGCCUCUAUGGAACAAGAGGUGGCCCCUCCUCAUGAUGAGCCAAGUGGGCCAUCUAUGCCAUUGGAAGAGCACGUUCUCGACAUGUUGGCUACUCUUACGGUGCGCUUAGAGCAAGUUCAACAUGAUAUCUCCAUACUACGAGACAUGGUUGUGGCCAUUGAGCGACGAUUGCCUCUUGCACCUUAGUUUAUCCCAUUCAGGGGGAUUUUAAUUCAUAUCUUAAUUAAUUUUCUUUUGGAUGACUGUAGGACUAAUGCAUUUUUGUUACUUUUGGUUUGCAUUUAAAAAAAAAAAAUUGAGUUCUUAUGUCCU